CGCGGUGGAUGGAGACAUCCGCCGGUCCUCGGGCAGGAGUCAGCAGCGGCCAUAGUAGCGACGAGAUUCCGCCAACGCGGAAGGGAGCGAAGGGC
rfam:Lentisphaerae bacterium GWF2_57_35 gwf2_scaffold_213, whole genome shotgun sequence.